UGAUUGAGAAGCUAAAAGGAAGCAAAAGUGGUAGGUUAUUACAAACAUUUCUGGUAGUGUUAGAAGAGGUCUAUGAGAUCCAGUGCAGCUGCUUGGCAGAAUGCAUCCUACACAAGUACCUUCAAACUACUGUACAUCAGAGGCAUGGGUGCAGUGGCACAAAAUGCCAUGCCAGUGACAUGACAAGAUAAAAACAUGUAGAGACACA